AGCUCCAAUAGCGUAUAUUAAAGUUGCUGCAGUUAAAAAGCUCGUAGUUGCAUUUCCGAGGCAAGGGAUUAGUCCGACCUUUGGUGGGUAUUUAAUCCUCUUGCCUCGUCCUUGAGUGGUGCUUCUUGGUAUUAAGUUAUCGAGGAGAUAGCCGCUCAUUGUUUACUGUGAGAAAAUUAGAGUGUUCAAAGCAGGCUUAUGCCGUUGAAUAUAUUAGCAUGGAAUAAUAAGAUAGGACUCGGUACUAUUUUGUUGGUUUGAGAACCAAGGUAAUGAUGAAUAGGGACAGUUGGGGGUAUUCGUAUUCAGUUGUCAGAGGUGAAAUUCUUAGAUUUACGGAAGACGAACUACUGCGAAAGCAUUUACCAAGGAUGUUUUCA
rnacentral:rRNA from 1 species